AAGAGUUGCACAACUCCCUACAACCAUUGCGAACGUUACCGAACACGUCGUUGCCUCGGCGGGCCCCGCGCCCGCCGGGGGGACGCCCACACAGGCUCUUUGCAGUUACCGGCCUCUCUGAGUUUGAUUUUACCAAAUCAGUCA
rnacentral:misc_RNA from 1 species